AUGGGAAUGAUCAGUUUUUGUCAAGAAGGGAAGCACUGUGCCUCUAGUUUUGCCUUGGAUAAGCUCACCUUUGGAAGUGGAACUAAACUGGAUGUGACCCCAAAUCUUCCUGAUUCAGAACCUUCUGUCUACCAGCUGAAGGCCAGCAAAGGAUCAGACAACCCGACUGCUUGCCUUAUUACUGAUUACUCACCUGGUCCCAUCAAUGUGAGGAUUAACAAAAGAGAUUCAGAACCUGAAUCAAUCAAUGGCUCUGUUGUUGUUGUGAAAGAAGGUGACAAUAAAGAAUCGGCCAGCCUUGGGGUUGUCCGUUGGGGCAAAGAUGACAAGCAAUUUCAUUGCUCUGCUACUUAUAAAGACAAAACCUAUGAAGCUGGAGAAGAGAAGGAUACAUGUUCAGAAAAUAAACUGUCCGGCACUCCAGAUUUUGAAACAGAUGAAAAUCUGAAUCUUCUCUCUCUCACUGUAUUGGGGCUGAGAGUGAUUUUUUUCAAAAGCGUUGCUCUCAACUUGUUACUCACCUACAGUGCGUGGUCAAGAUGAGAAAUGAGAGAAAAAUGGGGACCAUAACUGGAACAUUGUGGAAGAAACACCUACCCCAUUAUUUCUUCACCGGGGAGCAAACAGCAAAAAAGCAGGACUUCUAUAUUUGACUGGACAGAACCAUGCUACAGCUUUCCUGCUUUCCUUCCCAGCUUUUUAUUCCAAAAUCAAACAGCUUCAUUUUUUGAAUGUUUUGUGGUAAAGCCUUUAAAGCACAAAUAUCUAGAAAGCUUAUCAGUCCAAAUUCUUGCACUGUUCUAAUGUAUUAUACUAUCUUCUGAAUAUUAUCUGUCAAAACAUUUACUG